rnacentral:rRNA from 1 species
CACAUCCAAGGAAGGCAGCAGGCGCGCAAAUUACCCAAUUCUGACACAGAGAGGUAGUGACAAAAAAUAACAAUACCUGGCCUUUUUAGGUCGGGUAAUUGGAAUGAGUACAAUUUAAACAUCUUAACGAGGAACAAUUGGAGGGCAAGUCUGGUGCCAGCAGCCGCGGUAAUUCCAGCUCCAAUAGCGUAUACUAAAGUUGUUGCAGUUAAAAAGCUCGUAGUUGGAUUUCUGUGGGGACGGAGCGGCCGGCCGCAACUCGCGGUUCGAGCUAGCGCUUUCCCUACAUCCUGCCGCGAACCGUGCUACCAUUAGUUUGGUGGCGCCGGGGAUCGGCUCGAUUACUUUGAGAAAAAUAGAGUGUUCAAAGCAGGCCACACGCCUUGAAUAAGUUAGCAUGGAAUAAUAACUAAGGACUUCGGUUCUAUUUUGUUGGUGUUCGGGACUGAAGUAAUGAUUGAUAGGGACAGUUGGGGCGGUCUGUAUUCCAAAGCGAGAGGUGAAAUUCUUAGACCUUCGGAAGACAAACAGCUGCGAAAGCGUUCCGCAAGGAUGUUCCCUUUGAUCAAGAACGAAAGUUGGGGGAUCGAAGACGAUCAGAUACCGUCGUAGUCUCAACUAUAAACUAUACCAGCUAGGGAUCGGCCAACGUUAUUUAAACCGACUUGGUCGGCACCUUAUGAGAAAUCAAAGCAUCUGGGUUCCGGGGGGAGUAUGGUCGCAAGGCUGAAACUUAAAGGAAUUGACGGAAGGGCACCACCAGCCGUGGAGCCUGUGGCUUAAUUUGACUCAACACGGGAAAACUUACCAGGUCCAGACAUAGUAAGGAUUGACAGAUUGAUAGCUCUUUCUUGAUUCUGUGGGUGGUGGUGCAUGGCCGUUCUUAGUUGGUGGAGUGAUUUGUCUGGUUAAUUCCGUUAACGAACGAGACCCCAGCCUGCUAAAUAGCGCGUGUGAGCUUUGCUCGCAGCGAGCUUCUUAGAGGGACUAUGAUGCGCGAUAGCACAUGGAAGUUUGGGGCAAUAACAGGUCUGUGAUGCCCUUAGAUGUUCUGGGCCGCACACGGGCUACACUGGCGCCUGCAACGAGCAUAUCAGCUGGCCCGAGAGGGUCUUGGCUAAUCUUUUGAACCGGCGCCGUGCUUGGGAUUGACCUUUGCAAUUGUUAGUCAUGCAACGAGGAAUGCCUUGUAAACGCGAGUCAUCAGCUCGCAUUGAAUACGUCCCUGCCCUUUGUACACACCGCCCGUCGCUCCUACCGAUGAAUGUUCCGAUGAAAUUUUCGGAGAGUGCCUGUGAACUUGGCUCUGCCUUGCGAACGGGAAGCUCAAAGUCACUUAAAUCUGAACAUUUCG